rnacentral:rRNA from 1 species
GUUUGAUCAUGGCUCAGAUUGAACGCUGGCGGCAGGCCUAACACAUGCAAGUCGGACGGUAGCACAGAGAGCUUGCUUUGGGUGACGAGUGGCGGACGGGUGAGCUAUCUGUCUGGGGAUCUGCCCGAUAGAGGGGGAUAACCACUGGAAACGGUGGCUAAUACCGCAUAACGUCGCAAGACCACAAGAGGGGGACCUUCGGGCUCUCACUAUCGGAUGAACCCAGAUGGGAUUAGCUAGUAGGCGGGGUAAUGGCCCACCUAGGCGACCGAUCCCUAGCUGGUCUGAGAGGAUGACCAGCCACACUGGAACUGAGACACGGUCCAGACUCCUACGGGGAGGCAGCAGUGGGGAAGUAUUGCACAAUGGGCGCACUUGAUGCAGCCAUGCCGCGUUGUUAUUGUAAAGAAAGGCCUUUCGGGGUUGGUAAA